rnacentral:tRNA from 1 species
GCCAAGAUAGCUCAGUUGGUAGAGCGGCGGUAUCGUAAAUCGCAGGUCGCCGGUUCGAUCCCGGCUCUUGGCU